rnacentral:rRNA from 1 species
AUUGAACGCUGGCGGCAGGCCUAACACAUGCAAGUCGAACGGUAACAGGAAGCAGCUUGCUGCUUUGCUGACGAGUGGCGGACGGGUGAGUAAUGUCUGGGAAACUGCCCGAUGGAGGGGGAUAACUACUGGAAACGGUAGCUAAUACAGCAUAACGUCGCAAGACCAAAGAGGGGGACCUUAGGGCCUCUUGCCAUCGGAUGUGCCCAGAUGGGAUUAGCUAGUAGGUGGGGUAACGGCUCACCUAGGCGACGAUCCCUAGCUGGUCUGAGAGGAUGACCAGCCACACUGGAACUGAGACACGGUCCAGACUCCUACGGGAGGCAGCAGUGGGGAAUAUUGCACAAUGGGCGCAAGCCUGAUGCAGCCAUGCCGCGUGUAUGAAGAAGGCCUUCGGGUUGUAAAGUACUUUCAGCGGGGAGGAAGGGAGUAAAGUUAAUACCUUUGCUCAUUGACGUUACCCGCAGAAGAAGCACCGGCUAACUCCGUG